UACGGAGGGGGCUAGCGUUGUUCGGAAUUACUGGGCGUAAAGCGCGCGUAGGCGGACCUGCAAGUCGGGGGUGAAAGCCCGAGGCUCAACCUCGGAACUGCCUUCGAUACUGCGGGUCUCGAGUCCGGGAGAGGUGAGUGGAAUUCCUAGUGUAGAGGUGAAAUUCGUAGAUAUUAGGAAGAACACCAGUGGCGAAGGCGGCUCUCUGGGACGGUACUGACGCUGAGACGCGAAAGCGUGGGGAGCGAACAGG
rnacentral:rRNA from 1 species